AACCUCCCCGCCCACUCGAACUCCGAAGUCCGUAUUCGCCGGAUGAAUCCCCUUCCCGGCGACGGCGAGCCCCGCGCGCGUCGUCCCCACCCGGCCACCCGACGCAAGCUCCCAACCGCAUCGCCGUCGCCGGAAAGCAACAUGCCACCCUCCGCGUGUCCUCGUGCUCCUUCACCUCCUCCGCCCCUCCAUUCCACUCCCACUUCGCAUCCUAACUCGCGCCCCGCAACCCGGACUCCAACCGACGAGCCAUGGCCCCCGCCGACGCCGGAGACUUCCUCUUAGAUGAGGACGACGACGAUUUCUUCAGUGAGUACAAUCCUCACCCCUACCUCGGCGGCUACGACCUCGCCGCCACCUUCGGCACCCCUCUUCCGCCUUCCGCCAGCACUUGCUACCCCGUCUCCUCCUCUGCCGCCGCCACCGUACCCAAUGUCCCCUCGCCUCCUUCACCCACACCGGAGCCAGCGGAUCCUCCGCCGGAGGAACCUUAUGGCGACGAGGAAGCUCUGCGGAAGCCGGUGCACGAAUCCCCGGAGGUGUUUCCAAACGGGGCAGCUACGAAAGGUAAGGGGCGGAGGCGCAGGUGGUGCGGACGCGGCUUCUGGAAGAAGUGCGUGCGGGGAUUGGAUUACGUAUUCGGCUACAAGGACCCGUAUGUGGAGCAGCGGAUUGGGUUGGACAGCUACGUCGUUCCGGUUUAUGCGAACAGGAAAGAAAGUGGGGAGGAUGCCUUGGCCGUGGAGGUUGAGAUGCCGCCACCGUCCGUGGGAAGAGUGGAGCCGCAUGAUAGCAACGAGGAGCUUGUUCAGAGCAAUGACUUAUCUUGGCAUAGUAAUUACAAAGAUGAUGCCGAUACCUAUAGCCAAUCCAUGUCUGAUUCGUACUAUACGCCUUCUUUUUCACAAUCUUAUGGCCUUCCUGAAGUUUUUGGCAAGCCAGAUUGGUUUCCAAAUCUUAGCUACUCCGAGUCUCAUCCAGUAGAGGAAUUUCAGCCCGAGGCAUUGUUAUCCUACGAUGUUCAGCACACGAUCUUUGGGCAACCUGUUCAUUGUUAUUACCAUCAUUGCUAUAAACAACCACUAAAUGUGCAGGUUGAAUCCCUGGAACCAGUUUAUUCUCAGAGGCUGGAGUAUUAUGAGGUUUGUUAAAGCAUUUGAUUUCCAGCUUAGUUAUUAGGUAGCAUGGCAGUCUGGGUACAUGUGCAUUAGGAAUUUAGCCCCUUACAGUUUGCUUGUCUGGACAAUGUGGUUCAUUUUACUCUUGUAAAGUUUUCCAGUUGUCCAAGUAACCCUUACAGCAAAGUGAGAAAAAAAAAGAGAAAAGAUUUGGGAGCUAUCUGGACAGCUGAAAAACCUCACGGAAGUAAAAUGUCCUUUUCCUUUAAAGUAUUAUUCAGAAAAUAAUAUACUUAAUAUAUUCCUCUGUAUUGCUUUAAUUAUUUUCUAAGAUAUGUUUGCUUCUGGUGUAGCAUUUUUCAACAUAUUGUGGCCAAAGUGAUGGCCACAUUUUGGAAACUCCAGCAUAUGCAUUCAACAUUCAGUCCUAUUUGCCGAUAUCUGACAUGCCAAUUGAACCUUUUAAGCCAUCAUGGUCUCAGAAUUGGGGCCUUUCUGAUGUCUAUACGCAAGGGGAUGCUCUUGAAAACGAUGCAGUUAGUACAUAAUCUGAAUCUGAUACAUCUCUUUCAUUUGGAUACAACAACAACAACAUUGCCUUUUUUCCCAAGCAAGUUGGGGUAGGCUAGAGAUGAAACCCGAAAGAAAUAAGUUCAAAGUUCAGGCACAUUGAUAGCUAGUCUCCAAGCGCUCCUAUCCAAAACUAUCUCUUUAGAGAUAUUCCAAUCCUUAAGGUCUCUCUUAACCGACUCAUCCCACAUCAGUUUAGGUCUACCUCUACCCCUCUUUACAUUAUCGACCCGCUCAAGAACCCCAUUAUGCACCGGUGCCUCAGGAGGCCUUCGUUGGACAUGUCCAAACCAUCUCAGCCGAUGCUGGAUAAGUUUCUCCUCAAUUUGUGCCACCCCGACCCUAUCCCGAAUAACUUCGUUCCGGACUCUAUCCCUCCUUGUGUGCCCGCAAAACCACCGCAACAUCCGCAUCUCUGUUACACUCAGUUGCUGGAUAUGUCGCCUUUUUGUAGGCCAACAUUCAACACCGUAUAACAUCGCCGGACGAAUUGCUGUCCUAUAGAAUUUGCCUUUUAGCUUUUGUGGCACCCUCUUGUCACAAAUGAUGCCAGAAUCUUGCCGCCAUUUCAACCAGCCAGCUGAAAUUCUAUGCCUAACAUCUUCAUCAAUGUCGCCAUCCUUUUGUAGCACCGAUCCUAAAUACCGAAAAGUAUCCUUCUGGACCACCACUUGCCCAUCUAGACUAACGUCUGCCCCCUCAUGCGGUCAUGCCUAGUCGCGCUGAAAUCGCACAUCAUGUACUCGGUCUUGGUCCUACUAAGUCUGAACCCUUUUGACUCUAACGUGCGUCUCCACAGCUCUAACUUCCUAUUAACCCCUGCCCUACUCUCGUCAACUAGCACCACGUCAUCAGCAAAGAGCAUACACCAAGGGAUCUCACCUUGUAUAUCCCUUGUGACCUCAUCCAUCACUAAAGCAAAUAAAUAAGGACUCAAUGCUGACCCCUGGUGUAGGCCUAUGUUAAUAGAAAAGUCAGUGGUGUUGCCAUCACAUGUCCGGACAAACGUUGUCGCAUCCUUGUACAUAUCCUUAAUGAGGGUAAUGUACUUAGUUGGGACUUUGUGCUUCUCCAAAGCCCACCACAUGACAUUUCUCGGUACUUUGUCAUAUGCCUUCUCAAGAUCAAUGAAGACCAUGUUUAAGUCCUUCUUCUGCUCCCUAUAUCUCUCCAUCAAUUGUCGUAUUAAGAAAAUCGCCUCCAUGGUUGACCUUCCAGUCAUGAACCCAAAUUGGUUUUGGGUCACACUUGUCACUCUUCUUAGGCGAUGCUCGAUAACCCUCUCCCAAAGCUUCAUCGUAUGGCUCAUCAGCUUAAUCCCACGGUAGUUAGUACAACUUUGAACAUCGCCCUUGCUUUUGAAAAUAGGUACUAAUAUACUUCUCCUCCAUUCCUCCUCCAUCUCUUUCAUUUGGAUGCUUAGUUUUUUUUUCUUUGUCUUGAUCCUUUUUUCUCAGUAAGAGUUCUAAUAUUCAGUUCUACUCUCUUAUAAUCAUUGCAAGUAUUUAGAGUAUUCUUCAAUACUUUUUCUUGCUGAAUGUUCUCAUAGAAAACCCUGUAAUAUAGGUUGCAUCUAUGACACAUUUCAAAUCUUACCUUGCUUGUGAGCAAAAGCCGUUCCAGCAGGGAGUGACUCUCUUUUAAAAGAAAGGAAGUUCUUGCAACCCUGGUGCAUAAGCAAGCUAAGAAAGAGAACCAAACAAAAGCAUCUUCUCUCCUAACAUUGAUAGGGAAUGAUAAUGUUAGCAAAGAAUCUAAUCAUGCCCUUAGUUUAACAAGUCAAUUUGAAUUCAUUCUGGAAGAGAGUUGCAUAUUUACAUACACGACUACAGACUACUAUUGUGAAAACUUGAGCUCGAGAGUUGGCACAUUAUCAGUAGGAACCAGGUUUAGGGUAAUCUCAUGCUUGGACUUUCGGCCGCUUUGCCCAGUCCUUGUUUAGACUAUGGCCUCGAUCUCCGUUUGAUUCUGCAUCUCCAAAAGUGCCCGGGGUCACAAAUAGAAACCAGGGUUGUAGGAUUGCAAAUGUAAAUAGGCUCUUUUACUUCUCUGGUGGUGUGAGAUCUUUUUGGAAGCUUCUGGUAUGACUUGAAUGAUCAGUUUCUUAUGACAUGGAAAGGUGUCAAAAUCUUGUGUUUAAUGGUAUGGAAACUAGUAUAGAACAUCACAUGACGAAAUUGUAUAUCAAGUUUAUUCGAGGAUGCGUUCAGAACUUCAGAUCGUGUCUGAAUGAAAAAAGUUUUGUACAUAUCAUCUUUGUAUGUUGUGAAGAUUUGCAAUUUGUAUUCUCUUUGAACAUGUCGCAAAUUACCAUGAGCUCGAGCUAAGAACUAUUCUCCUCUAGCACAUUUUUCUGAUGAGUAUGUCACUCUUUUUUUGGGAGGGGCAGCAUUCUCUAAUCUCUGGUGAAUAUGGAGCCAUUGGAAGCUUGUUCAUUUCCCCCUUUUAUCCUAGAGAGACAGAAGCAUUCGAGUGGGCCCCUAGUGAUGAGCAUGCAUCCUUCCAGCACAAUUGGCAUAAUUUAAGCUACCAGAAUGUGUCCAUGGAUGGUGUUUCUCUAAUUUCUCAACAGGCUGGUGAUUCCUACAGUAUGAAUGGUUCCUUCUGGCCUUUGGGGCACCACUCAGCAUACAGUGUCUAGUUCAUGUUGUAAUGUUGUCUCUGGAAAACUAGUAGCGGCAAUAUUCACAUAUACUCGGCAAAAAUAUAAAUAAGCAUUUGUGUAUGAUUAAGAGAUUAUUUUCAUAAAUCCUUGAAUGUCAAGCAAAUAGUUGACUUCAUUCAUUAAUAAAAUUAAAUUUGUAUGCUUUGUGUGCCUGUUUCUAGUUUUUUAGUAUAGCAAAUUGUUCACAGUUUAUUCUUCCCAAGACUUGUUCUUUUCUUGCGGUUCUGGCUGAGGUUAUCAGGUCUGUUUUCGGGAACCAGAUAAACAUGAACUCAAUCACUCUAUUUCAGUGCUAUGCAUGGAUCCCUACACUAAGUGUAUCACACAAAUUCCAGUAUUUGUUUGUCAUCAGUUAUUGAAGAGCUUAAUGGUUCUUCCAUUUCUAAAUGGCACAAAAGGCUUAAACCGCUUAUUAUGUAUGUUGCAAGAUAAGUUACAGGUUAUUGAACUGUCCUCCAGAAGCCCAUUCAAGAGGAAUGAAAGGGAUCAAACUUCAUAAGGUUUAUCAUUCUCCAUAGUCCACACAGAAAUCAGAACACAUUCUAAUGCUCGGGUGAAAAUGCCUUUACCCCAUGGACUGUAGUGAAUGCUACUGCCGUCCACAACCAAAAGAUACCUGACAACCGGAAGCAAUUCAAAACAGCCAGGUGGUCUUAUCAGCUCAACCUACCUGUAUGCCGGUGAGAUCAUGAGUUAUUUUUCUUGAACUCAGGCUGUCGAGUUCUUUCGCUUUGCAAUACUUGUGCAUAUCCAGUCGUAAUGACAUCUUAUAAACAUCCCUGGGCCAAAAAAAAUGUAUGCCACCGUGCAACUAAAGCUGAUUGAAUGCAGUGCCAUAUUAAACCACA